rnacentral:rRNA from 1 species
GCUCUGAAUAUCUAUGGCUCUAUGGCUAGAUAAAGUACAAGUCGUAACAAGGCUUCAGUUGGAGAACCAGCUGAAG